rnacentral:rRNA from 1 species
UACGGAGGGUGCAAGCGUUAUCCGGAUUCACUGGGUUUAAAGGGUGCGUAGGCGGGCAGGUAAGUCAGUGGUGAAAUCCUUGAGCUUAACUCGAGAACUGCCAUUGAUACUAUCUGUCUUGAAUAUUGUGGAGGUAAGCGGAAUAUGUCAUGUAGCGGUGAAAUGCUUAGAUAUGACAUAGAACACCUAUUGCGAAGGCAGCUUACUACGCAUAUAUUGACGCUGAGGCACGAAAGCGUGGAGAUCAAACAGG